rnacentral:rRNA from 1 species
GACGAACGCUGGCGGCGUGCCUAAUACAUGCAAGUCGAACGCAGUGGGGACGGGUGAGUAACACGUGGGUAACCUCCCAUCAGAGGGGAUAACACUUGGAAACAGGUGCUAAACCGAUACUGAUGGAUGGACCCGCGGUGCAUUAGCUAGUUGGUGAGGUAACGGCUCACCAAGGCCACGAUGCAUAGCCGACCUGAGAGGGUGAUCAGCCACACAGGGACUGCGACACGGCCCAGAAUCCUACGGGAGGCAGCAGUGGGGAACCUUCGGCAAUGGCCGAAAGCCUGACCGAGCCACGCAGCGUGAGUGAAGAAGGUUUUCGGAUCGUAAAACUCUGUCGGUAGAGAAGCGGUAUAUAAGCAGAAAGCAACGGCUAACUACGUGCCAGCCGACGCGGUAAUUC